GUCCACGCCGUAAACGAUGUCGACUAGCCGUUGGGCCCUUCUAGGGCUUAGUGGCGCAGCUAACGCAUUAAGUCGACCGCCUGGGGAGUACGGCCGCAAGGUUAAAACUCAAAUGAAUUGACGGGGCCCGCACAAGCGGUGGAGCAUGUGGUUUAAUUCGAUGCAACGCGAAGAACCUUACCUACCCUUGACAUCCUGCGAACUUUCUAGAGAUAGAUUGGUGCCUUCGGGAGCGCAGAGACAGGUGCUGCAUGGCUGUCGU
rnacentral:rRNA from 1 species